CCUACGGGAGGCAGCAGUGAGGAAUAUUGGUCAAUGGACGAGAGUCUGAACCAGCCAAGUAGCGUGAAGGACGAAGGUGCCAAGCAUUGUAAACUUCUUUUGUCAAGGGACAAAAUCAGGCUCGAGAGCCUGACCGAGGGUACUUGAAGAAAAAGCAUCGGCUAACUCCGUGCCAGCAGCCGCGGUAAUACGGAGGAUGCGAGCGUUAUCCGGAUUUAUUGGGUUGAAAGGGUGCGUAGGCGGGCUGUUAAGUCAGCGGUAAAAGCCCGGGGCUCAACCCCGGCGAGCCGUUGAAACUGGCUGUCUUGAGAUGUCGAGAGGUAUGCGGAAUGCGCGGUGUAGCGGUGAAAUGCUUAGAUAUUGCGCAGAACUCCGAUUGCGAAGGCAGCAUACCGGCGGCGAUCUGACGCUGAGGCACGAAAGCGUGGGUAUCGAACAGGAUUAGAUACCCGGGUAGUC
rnacentral:rRNA from 1 species